AUCGUCUCGUCUGCUACAAAAAUCCUCCCAUCUUUGCAGAGAUGGUUUCGUGUCCCGCGGCUACGCCGUCGCCGCGGCAACCCUAUACCCGGAGGAGCCGGCGGGGCCGACGAUGAAGACGGCGUUGCCUGGACCGAGGUCGCAGGAACUGAAGAAACAGCUGGACAAAAUACAGAACACGGGAGCCGUGAGCGUGUUCGUUGACUUUGAGAAGAGCCGAGGAAACUACAUGGUCGACGUGGACGGCAACGAGAUGCUUGAUCUCUUCACACAGAUCUCCUCCCUCCCUCUCGGUGAGUGACAG
rnacentral:lncRNA from 1 species